CCAUACCGCAGUUCCAAAAGGCUGAGCUGUGCAGCUUUUAAGGGUAAUGCAGUUACAACUGAUGACAUCACAAACUGCAAGUUUUGGAGCAAAAAUGGAAAUGAAAAUACAGUUUUUUUUUUAAUUUUUAGCAAAUUGUAUUACGAUAAAUGUUUCUCCUAGAUCUGUAUCUCUGGCAGAAUAAAAUACAAACUCACUCCUAUCCUGUCAAGGCACAAUCUAACGGAAGAAAUGCAUCACAAUAUUCUAGAAACUGCUUUAGGAACAGGUGUUACAAGUGUUCUAAUAUUUUGCGUUGCUUUUAGCAUCAAUGUUCCAACAGAAAGUAAACAGAACCUUCAGUUGCUUGCCCAUCAGCUACUUCCUGCUCAGGUCUGAAAGUAUUCUUUGUGCACAAUUCUAAAGAGAACUUUAACAAUUUCUUUAUCGCUUUGAUCCUACUGACCAAUUGCAGGUCUAAGUCUGCCCUCUGUGGCUGUCUACUAGACAGCCACUAUUGAGCUUCCGUUAUCCAAACGGACUUUUGGUCCGUUAUCUGACGCUGGACGUCCUCACGCUCUGCAUGAGGACCUCCAGCAUCAGAUUUUCCACAUAGGAAAUCAUGGGGAGGCCUAAUGCGCGCAAGGUCAUUAACGCGCAUGCUCAUUUGGUCUCUCCCUCCGACUGACAUCUGUUGGGGAGGAGCGUGCGCGGAGGGACAUCGGCGCUUCCUGCUAAGUAAAACCCUGCAAGUAUGGGAAAAUGGUAGCUCAAGCGCUGUAUUUAGCGCAAGGCUGACGAGGCAUUUGCCUUGGGCGGCACUUUCAGGGGGUGACAAAAAAAACACCUUGUCAGCCUCUUGUCCUGGGGAUCCCAGGAGCUGGCCACCUUAUGGCCCCCCGAGGCUGGCAUCUACUGUUAGAGGCAGGCGACGGGUGAGCACUCUCCCAAGCUCUUCCUGCUCACCUCCCUCGUGCGUACCACAGUUAUGCCGUAGCCGGGAUAUGAAGUCCCUCAUCACUAAGAGGUGCGCGAGGUAGCUGAGCAGAAAGAUCAGAGCUACCUCGCAGCCUCCAAUGUGAGCCCGCCUGCCUGUGCCCAUGCCUGAGCUGCAGCCAGCCCCAAUGGACCACAGGGAAGAAUCCACUACAGCACUCCCAAAGGAUUGGUGGAUUGAAGUUAAAUUUUUAAAAUAUUGUGUUAGUGAGUGUGUCUGUCACUGAAAGUGUAUGUUUUUG